AUUGAACGCUGGCGGCAGGCCUAACACAUGCAAGUCGAGCGGAUGAAGGGAGCUUGCUCCUGGCUUCAGCGGCGGACGGGUGAGUAAUGCCUAGGAAUCUGCCUGGUCGUGGGGGAUAACGUCCGGACACGGGCGCUAAUCCCGCAUACGUCCUGAGGGUGAACGUGGGGGAUCUUUGGACAUCACGCUAUCAGAUGAGCCUAGGUCGGAUUAGCUAGUUGGUGGGGUAAAGGCUUACCAAGGCGACGAUGCGUAGCUGGUCUGAGAGGAUGAUCAGUCACACUGGAACUGAGACACGGUCCAGACUCCUACGGGAGGCAGCAGUAGGGAAUAUUGGACAAUGGGCGAAAGCCUGAUCCAGCAAUGCCGCGUGUGUGAAGAAGGUCUUCGGAUCGUAAAGCACUUUAAGUUGGGAGGAAGGGCAGUAAGUUAAUACAUUGCUGUUUUGACGUUACCAACAGAAUAAGCACCGGCUAACUUCGUG
rnacentral:rRNA from 1 species